rnacentral:piRNA from 1 species
UCCUGGAGCACACUCAGUAACUGGAUGGACCU